rnacentral:lncRNA from 1 species
GAAGCAGUAAAGAAACAGGAAAAUCAACUUCAAAUGCACUCUUCAUUUCAGUGAACUUUCACUUACAUUAUAUGCUAAACAGUCAUUUCUCGAUCAUAGCUAAGAAAGUAUCUGGAAAUUUGAAAGAAAAGCAUAGGUGAACAAUCAGCAAAUACAACAGAAAUCAGCAGCAGAAAUACACCCAUGAACCAGUUUUGGAAACCACAAAAUUGGUUCCAAAUCCAAUGGAAACCACAUGACCCAAAAAAUUCCAAAAACUAAUGUCAACCCAUUUCAAAUAUCAUUAAUGAAGCGUUAUUGUUUUUCAGAAAUUGAAAGAAUCAGAAAAUCCAGAAGAAAAACUCAUUGAAACAGUAUCCUAGUCGUUUGUGAUCUUUUCUUUC